AAAGACCUGUCAAAUUUCAAGGUUCUGGAUGCUUCUGGAAAGAAAAAGAAUUAGAUUGUGGAAGGUGUAGGAGAGAGCGGAGGACUGCACAGCACUCACUACUAUGCCAUGACAAUCAGCAAAGCACAGAGGUAAGCACCAGAGCAACCAUGCACACUUCCAGCACAGGUAGCUGGUGCCCAACAAGCAGCUACAGACUCAAUGCACCACAAGGAAACCCAGGGAUGGCUUUUUAAGAACAGCGAGACAGGGGCGCCUGGGUGGCUCAGUCGGUUAGGCGUCCACCCGUGGAUCUCAGGGUCCUCGGAUUGAGCCCCACGUUGGGCUCUCUGCUUGGUGGGGAGUCUAUUUCUCUCCCUCCCUCUGACCUUCCUCCUCACUUCGGCUGUCAUAAAUAAGUAAAAUCUUUUUUAAAAAUGAAUAUUGAGAAAGAACAACAGCAAAAUAUUCCCAUAAAAUCCUAUUCAUGUCUCCCAAAGAGAAAUUCACACAUGUCCAUAAUGGAAUAAGGGAAAAUAGGAAAUAAAAUAAAAUAAUGGAAAAAGGGAAAAAAAUCG
rnacentral:lncRNA from 1 species